rnacentral:lncRNA from 1 species
GGCCCUUGCAUUAUUUUCAACUAUCUUCAUGUCCUUGGCAUCAUAUUCAUCUACCUUCUUUGGAACCGUGAUUUCUCCAACUUUCUUUGUCGGCAUUGGUUCACCACUUUUGAUGAUUUGCCACAAACGAAAAUUGUUUGCUUUGAGGAAGAUACUCAUCCGCCCUUUUCAAUAUGUAUAGUUUGUUCCGUCAAAUAGUGGAACGCAAGUGAUGGAUUGUCCUUCAUUCAUCAUUCCUGCUUUUAAUAUUCUAUACACAAAAAUAUAUAUAGCUCUCAACCGGUUAAGGCUUUCAGAGAGUUAGGCUCUGAUACCAAUUGUUAGUAUUUAUGCCGUUCACUANNN